AUUCUACUUUCAGAGUAUCAAUUGGAGGGCAGUCUGGUGCCAGCAGCCGCGGUAAUUCCAGCUCCAAUAGCGUAUAUUAAAAUUGUUGCAGUUAAAAAGCUCGUAGUUGAAUUUCUGCUGCAUCGUCGCAUCUCUUGCUGAGUGCUUCGUUUCGGCUUAUUUCGGAUUGAUUUUUUCUUUCCGGAUGAUUACUUUGAGAAAAUUAGAGUGCUCAAAGCAGGCUUUUGCCUUGAAUAGUUUAGCAUGGAAUAAUAAAGUAGGACUUUGGUUCUAUUUUGUUGGUUUUAGGUACCAAAGUAAUGGUUAAUAGGAACAGUUGGGGGCAUUCGUAUUUAACUGUCAGAGGUGAAAUUCUUAGAUUUGUUAAAGACGAACUACUGCGAAAGCAUUUGCCAAGGAUGUUUUCAUUAAUCAAGAACGAAAGUUAGGGGAUCGAAGACGAUCAGAUACCGUCGUAGUCCUA
rnacentral:rRNA from 1 species